UACGAAGGGGGCUAGCGUUGUUCGGAAUUACUGGGCGUAAAGCGCACGUAGGCGGAUUGUUAAGUUAGGGGUGAAAUCCCAGGGCUCAACCCUGGAACUGCCUUUAAUACUGGCAAUCUCGAGUCCGAGAGAGGUGAGUGGAAUUCCGAGUGUAGAGGUGAAAUUCGUAGAUAUUCGGAGGAACACCAGUGGCGAAGGCGGCUUACUGGCUCGGUACUGACGCUGAGGUGCGAAAGCGUGGGGAGCAAACAGG
rnacentral:rRNA from 1 species